rnacentral:rRNA from 1 species
GUACUUAGUGGCGGACGGGUGAGUAACGCGUGAGAAUCUGCCUUCUGGUCGGGGACAACCAUUGGAAACGAUGGCUAAUACCGGAUAAGCCCACGGGUAAAAGAUUAAUUGCCAGAAGAAGAGCUCGCGUCUGAUUAGCUAGUUGGUGAGGUAAAAGCUCACCAAGGCAUCGAUCAGUAGCUGGUCUGAGAGGAUGACCAGCCACACUGGGACUGAGACACGGCCCAGACUCCUACGGGAGGCAGCAGUGGGGAAUUUUCCGCAAUGGGCGAAAGCCUGACGGAGCAAGACCGCGUGAGGGAGGAAGGCUCUUGGGUUGUAAACCUCUUUUCUUGGGGAAUAAAAAAAUGAAGGUACCCAAGGAAUCAGCAUCGGCUAACUCCGUGCCAGCAGCCGCGGUAAUACGGAGGAUGCAAGCGUUAUCCGGAAUUAUUGGGCGUAAAGCGUCCGCAGGUGGCACUUCAAGUCUGCUGUCAAAGACCGGGGCUUAACCCUGGAAAGGCAGUGGAAACUGAAGCGCUAGAGUGUCGUAGGGGUAGAGGGAAUUCCUGGUGUAGCGGUGAAAUGCGUAGAGAUCAGGAAGAACAUCGGUGGCGAAAGCGCUCUACUGGACGACAACUGACACUCAGGGACGAAAGCUAGGGGAGCGAAUGGGAUUAGAUACCCCAGUAGUCCUAGCCGUAAACGAUGGAUACUAGGUGUGGCUUGUAUCGACCCGAGCCGUGCCGUAGCUAACGCGUUAAGUAUCCCGCCUGGGGAGUACGCGCGCAAGCGUGAAACUCAAAGGAAUUGACGGGGGCCCGCACAAGUGGUGGAGUAUGUGGUUUAAUUCGAUGCAAGGCGAAGAACCUUACCAGGGCUUGACAUGUCUGGAAUCUGCUUGAAAGGGCAGAGUGCCUUCGGGAGCCAGAACACAGGUGGUGCAUGGC